rnacentral:tRNA from 1 species
GGCAAGAUGGCCGAGCGGUUAAGGCGUGUGACUCAAGUUGUCCUAAAUUGUGUAAUCAAUUACAUAAUUACGGAGUGACUUACCUGAAUUCGGGUUUCUCAUCACGGUAUCGUGGCGUGGGUUCAAGUCCCACUCUUGUCA